rnacentral:rRNA from 1 species
UAACGCGAAGAACCUUACCAAGGCUUGACAUACACCGGAAACUUCCAGAGAUGGUUGCCCCGCAAGGUCGGUGUACAGGUGGUGCAUGGUUGUCGUCAGCUCGUGUCGUGAGAUGUUGGGUUAAGUCCCGCAACGAGCGCAACCCUCGUCUUAUGUUGCCAGCACGUUAUGGUGGGGACUCAUAAGAGACUGCCGGGGUCAACUCGGAGGAAGGUGGGGAUGACGUCAAAUCAUCAUGCCCCUUAUGUCUUGGGCUUCACGCAUGCUACAAUGGCCGGUACAAAGGGCUGCGAUACCGCGAGGUGGAGCGAAUCCCAAAAAGCCGGUCUCAGUUCGGAUUGGGGUCUGCAACUCGACCCCAUGAAGUCGGAGUCGCUAGUAAUCGCAGAUCAGCAACGCUGCGGUGAAUACGUUCCCGGGCCUUGUACACACCGA